rnacentral:rRNA from 1 species
GAUCAUGGCUCAGAUUGAACGCUGGCGGCAGGCCUAACACAUGCAAGUCGAGCGGAAACGAUGGUAGCUUGCUACCAGGCGUCGAGCGGCGGACGGGUGAGUAACGCGUGAGAAUCUACCCAUGAGUGGGGGACAACCCGGGGAAACUCGGGCUAAUACCGCAUACGCCCUACGGGGUAAAGCAGGGGACCUUCGGGCCUUGCGCUGAUGGAUGAGCUCGCGUCGGAUUAGCUUGUUGGUGAGGUAAAGGCUCACCAAGGCGACGAUCCGUAGCUGGUCUGAGAGGAUGAUCAGCCACACCGGGACUGAGACACGGCCCGGACUCCUACGGGAGGCAGCAGUGGGGAAUCUUCCACAAU